CUACGGGUUGCUGCAGUGGGGAAUAUUGGACAAUGGGCGCAAGCCUGAUCCAGCAAUGCCGCGUGUGUGAAGAAGGCCUGCGGGUUGUAAAGCACUUUCAAUUGGGAGGAAAAGCGGUCGGUUAAUACCCGGCCGACUUGACGUUACCUUUAGAAGAAGCACCGGCUAACUCCGUGCCAGCAGCCGCGGUAAUACGGAGGGUGCAAGCGGUAAUCGGAAUUACUGGGCGUAAAGCGCGCGUAGGUGGCUAGAUAAGUCGGAUGUGAAAGCCCUGGGCUCAACCGGGGAAUGGCAUUCGAUACUGUCUGGCUAGAGUCUGGUAGAGGGAAGUGGAAUUCCAGGUGUAGCGGUGACAUGCGUAGAUAUCUGGAGGAACACCAGUGGCGAAGGCGACUUCCUGGACCAAGACUGACACUGAGGUGCGAAAGCGUGGGUAGCAAAUAGGAUUAGAUACCCCCGUAGUC
rnacentral:rRNA from 1 species